AUUGAACGCUGGCGGCAUGCCUUACACAUGCAAGUCGAACGGCAGCACGGGUGCUUGCACCUGGUGGCGAGUGGCGAACGGGUGAGUAAAGCAUCGGAACGUACCGUGUUAUGGGGGAUAACGUAGCGAAAGUUACGCUAAUACCGCAUACGACCUGAGGGUGAAAGCAGGGGAUCGCAAGACCUUGCGUUAUACGAGCGGCCGAUGUCAGAUUAGCUAGUUGGUAGGGUAAAGGCCUACCAAGGCGACGAUCUGUAGCGGGUCUGAGAGGAUGAUCCGCCAAACUGGGACGGAGACAGGGCCCGGCCUCCUACGGGAGGAAGCAGUGGGGAAUUUUGGACAAUGGGGGAAACCCUGAUCCAGCCAUGCGGCGUGGGUGAAGAAGGCCUUCGGGUUGUAAGGCUCUUUCGGCCGGGAAGAAAUCGCACAGGCUAAUACUCUGUGUGGAUGACGGUACCGGCAUAAGAAGCACCGGCUAACUACGUGCCAGCAGCCGCCGUAA
rnacentral:rRNA from 1 species